AUUGAACGCUGGCGGCGUGCUUAACACAUGCAAGUCGAUCGGUAACAGGUGUAGCAAUACGUGCUGACGAGAGGCGGGCGGGUGAGGAAUAUUUGGGAAUCUGCCCAUCAGCGGGGGACAACCCGGGGAAACUCGGGCUAAUACCGCAUACGCUCUACGGAGGAAAGCCGGGGACCGCAAGGCCUGGCACUGAUGGAUGAGCCCAAAUCGGAUUAGCUAGUUGGCGGGGUAACGGCCCACCAAGGCGACGAUCCGUAGCUGGUCUGAGAGGACGAUCAGCCACACCGGAACUGAGACACGGUCCGGACUCCUACGGGAGGCAGCAGUGGGGAAUAUUGGACAAUGGGGGAAACCCUGAUCCAGCGACGCCGCGUGGGUGAAGAAGGCCUGCGGGUUGUAAAGCCCUUUCGGUAGGGAAGAAAUCUCUUGUCUUAACACGGCAAGGGUUUGACUUAACCUACAUAAGAAGCACCGGCUAACUCUGUGCCAGCAGCCGCCGUAAAAC
rnacentral:rRNA from 1 species